UACGUAGGGGCCAAGCGUUGUCCGGAUUUAUUGGGCGUAAAGAGCUUGUAGGCGGUUCGGCAAGUCGGGUGUGAAAACUCCGGGCUCAACCCGGAGACGCCACCCGAUACUGUCGUGACUGGAGUCCGGUAGGGGAGUGGGGAAUUCCUGGUGUAGCGGUGAAAUGCGCAGAUAUCAGGAGGAACACCGGUGGCGAAGGCGGGUCUCUGGGCCGAUACUGACGCUGAGGAGCGAAAGCGUGGGGAGCGAACAGG
rnacentral:rRNA from 1 species